rnacentral:pre_miRNA from 1 species
UUUUCGUUUUUCCAUGUCCAACAUUUGACCAUUCGUCUUAUUUGAAUUUUUUUGCGAUUAAUAUUUUUAUUAUUACUAGAUGGUAAAAUAUAAAUAGUAUUUUAUAUAUGACUAAUUUUUUUAAGUUUUUGUAUAAUUUUUAAAUAAGAUGAAUGGUCAAACGUUGGACAUAAAAAA